AUAGUCCUGAUGUGUUCGUCUUCAUUCCUUUUAUUUUGACCUAACAUUUUUUGAUUGGGAGCUUGGAGUUUUCGAUCAGCGUACAUGCCUUUAUUUAAAGGACUUACAAUGAUUGAAGCAGAGCACCCACCUGCCGAGAGCGGGUUCAAAACAUUGGUAUGUAGGACGGCACGAUUGGGACUAUA
rnacentral:other from 1 species